GACGAACGCUGGCGGCGUACCUAAUACAUGCAAGUAGAACGCAGUUGCGAACGGGUGAGUAACGCGUAGGUAACCUGCCUCAUAGGGGGGGAUAACUAUUGGAAACGAAAGAUAAUACCGCAUACUGUGAGAUGGACCUGCGUUGUAUUAGCUAGUUGGUGAGGUAAAGGCCUACCAAGGCGACGAUCCGUAGCGGGUCUGAGAGGACGAUCAGCCACACUGGGACUGAGACACGGCCCAGACUCCUACGGGAGGCAGCAGUGGGGAAUUUUGGACAAUGGGCGCAACCCUGAUCCAGCCAUGCCGCGUGUAUGAAGAAGGCCUUCGGAUUGUAAAGUACUUUUGUUAGGGAAGCGUUACCUAAAGAAUAAGCACCGGCUAACUCCGUGCCAGCAGCCGCGGUAAUAC
rnacentral:rRNA from 1 species